rnacentral:rRNA from 1 species
UACGUAGGGUGCGAGCGUUGUCCGGAAUUAUGGGGCGUAAAGAGCUUGUAGGCGGUUUGUCGCGUCUGCUGUGAAAAUCCGGGGCUCAACCCCGGACUUGCAGUGGGUACGGGCAGACUAGAGUGUGGUAGGGGAGACUGGAAUUCCUGGUGUAGCGGUGAAAUGCGCAGAUAUCAGGAGGAACACCGGUGGCGAAGGCGGGUCUCUGGGCCGUAACUGACGCUGAGGAGCGAAAGCAUGGGGAGCGAACAGG